rnacentral:miRNA from 11 species
AGGUUGGGAUCAGUUGCAAUGCU